AAAGGCUAUUAAUUGUUAUUUUAUCCUGACUUUCAGGUAAAGAAGAUACUCCCUCAUUACUUGGUCUCUGUGGGUCUCUUACAUCAGUGGCAAGUUACAAGUCUCUAACAAGCCUAAAAUCUAAUGACUACCUUGCAAGUCCUACAACGGAGAUGACAAGUCCAGGCCUAACUCCAUCCUGAAAAACUUAUGUGAAAGUUGAAAGUUUCUAUAUUGUAAAUGUUCAGUUUAUGUAAGUUCAACUGCUGGGGAGACCUUUGAAAUUUUAUAUUGUUCUGGUACAUGUCUGGAAUUCUGCUUAGAGAGUUCAGUACUCCAUGUAAACUUAUAAGGGGAAAAAUAAUGGUCCUGACAUUUUUUCAUUUAAAAAAAACUUAUAUUUGUCAUUGAGAAAGUUUAAAAUUGAACAGGCUUUAAAAAACUUUUGAAGAUUCUCCAAAUUAAUGAUUCAUUCAAAUUGUACAUAGUUAAUAUUCAACUGAUUUUUAUAUAUUUCUUUACAUAUAUCUUAGUGAUCAGAGACUGAGAUCAAGGCUUUAUUCCAGAGACUUAAGCUAAAUAUUUUCUUUCACUCAGUGGUCAAAUUUUCAAAAUAAGACAACUAAAUUCAGUUUUCCACUAAUUUCUAACAUUUAAAUGCCAUAUGUUUAAUAUUAGGGCAGUGUUCUAGAUUGCAGUUCACAGUGGUUUUUCAGUUUUUUUGGUUUUGGGUGGUUUUGUUUUGUUUUGUUUUGUUUUUUUGGUUAUGCUGGGGAUUGAACCCAGGGCCCUGUACAUGCUAAAGAAGUGCUCAACACUGAGCUAUUCCCUAGCCUGUCAUUUUUUUCUUCAACAUUUAUCAUUUGGUACUAAUUAAACAUUCCAUUUAACAUUUUAUAAAUUUUGUAGGAAUGUGCCUUUUUUGGCAAUCACUGAUUUUCUUUGUAUGGGUCAUAGGUAAAGUAUAUUAUACAGAGAGAAAAAUGAAUAAAUUUCUUAUUGUUGUUUCCCCAGGAUUUUCAUUAACGGUUGUCAGUUUUUAAAUGUGAUCAGGUAUGUCUGAAAAGUUGGAGACGUUUCAAAUAUAGAAGGAAUGCUAGAAAAUGUUACAUCAGGAAUGAUUUUAAGUUCAGCUAAAGAUUGAGAAGAUUUUAAACAAGGAUCACUAGAAUAAGCACCAUACUUAAUAAUAAAUAAAUGCCUGACAUACAGUGCUAUUUUUUCCUCCCUUACAUGUAACAAUGAAUUAUGUCAUGCGUGUUUUAUGAACUCUAGCAUCAUGUCAUAAUCUCAUUUUUAAAAUGAUGUUAAUAUUUAAAAGGUCCCUACACUUCUACAGGUAAAUUAGUUUUUUUAUAGUCCAUAUUUUAAAUCUUUUGCAAUUUUUAAAACAGCUACAUUUGUCCCUUAAAUUUCCACCAUAUCAAAAGUGAAAAUAUAUGAAACAUAUUUUCUAUAGUAAGAAAUAAGGAAAACAUGAUUAGCUGUGCCAAAGAGAUUUUAUACAUUGUUUACAUGAAAAGGCCACAAUAUUUAUCUGGAAUGUCAUAUGGUAUUUUUGUUUAUUACUAAAACAUUACAUUCAAACAUAGUAGCUUUGACAUAUAGGAAAAAUGUUCUUCCUAAAACAAUUUUUUUAAGAAGUGAAUUACCUGUUCAUUCUUUGUAUUAGAAAUGUAGGAGUCUGAUGGUUCUCUGCAAUAUUUAGAGCUUAGUUUCAUAAUUUGGAAUAUAAACUAAGGUCAGUCUUGUAUGUGAGACAGUCCAAACAAUGUCAUUUCAGGGACAAAGGAGACCUGGAAGCCCUUAUAAUAAGCUAUCUUAAGUGUGCCAGGACAUACUCAGAGCUUUAUUCCUUUAUCUUAAGGCUUUAAUAUUUGUAGAAAUGCAAAUGUUCUUGAGAAAUGGUACCUUUAAUCUAUUCUUAAUUCUGUAUACCCUUGACAAGAGUGAAGUAUCCAAAGCAGUUUUUAAGAAGCAUGAGGAAGAAGGUACAAAAUAAAGACAUUUGACAUCUUGGGAGGAUGGAGUAAAGAAAUGAAUGAGGAGGGAACUUUGGGAAUUUUAGGCUAGCCUUGAGCAGCUUUCCUAAGAAUUUUCAGAAUAUUUAAAUGCUUAAUAAUUCAUGGUCCACUCUCAGCUGACACAUAGGAUCCUUCAGUAAUUAAAAAAUAUUGUUAAUUUUUUUCCAUUCAUUUUUAAAAUGUAGAAGGAAAUUCAAGAUUCCAUAAUUGGUAUACUUUUCAGGUUUGUCUACUGGGAACAGUAAUUUGUGUAUCUUAACCUGCUGCUAAGUGCAGAUUUAAACAUGGCAUCUGAGGAUCAGGACUUUUCCUCCUUUCUUGGAGCUCUUGGAAUAAAAUUCAUUGGCUACUGUGAAAUUCAGGUUUUUACACAGUUCAUUUCACACUAGAAGUAGUUUGUAAAUUUUGCAUGAAGAAACAAUGUAUGUCUUAACCUUUAAUUUAAGUGGUAGUGUUUCUUUUUAACGACCCCUCCCCCAAAAGAAUGCUGAACUAUAUGUUAAUAUUUCCAUGUGUAUUUUGUUGCCUUGAUGUACUAUACUUGUUGCAUGUAUAUUAAAGAUUUUGUACCCUGCAUUAAUAGA
rnacentral:lncRNA from 1 species